ensembl:lncRNA
CGAGAGCUAAAGGCCUUACACUAACACUGAAGCCUUGUGCACAGUCGGGAGCAGCAGCGAGACGAACAGAAAGUGAGCACCAUGAGAUGACAAGAAAACCCAGGUCAGGUGACCUACAGGCCUUAUAUCUGUUCCCCUGAGCAGGAAUGAUAACAGUACUUGAACAGACUUCUGGGGAAUGUAGUUCUUCUUCUCUUCCAGACAAGUACCCAGAACUAAAGCAUUUGCUCUUUAACUCCCAGUAUACUGCAUGAUGUUGUGAUGUGGAAUACUGAUAACCAAAAAUCAUAAAACCAUGACAUUCCACCCCUUAUUCUACAUCAUUAUAGCAUGCUUAAUAUAUACAAACAAACAUAAUUAUAAUCAAUUAUCAAAUAUUGAACAAAUGUACAUAUACUUGGAAUUACUGAUUCCGCUCUCCCAUCAUCAAAUUCCCUUGUGGCACACAUUGAACAUCCCCAUUUUUCUGCAUCGCCCACCAAGUGCACCCAGGUCCCUGGGCAAAAACAGUUCCACAAAGAGGUUUGCCCUUCCCAGAAGCUGGAAGGACCCAUACUGCUUUUCCCAACAUGUUCUUUACAUGUAUUACAGGGACCUUAUCUCCCUUUACAGUAUGUAGGGAGCUGGCAGGACCAUCACAAUUGAUAGAUCCUCGAGUAUUCACCAACCAGGUGGCUUCGGCCAAAUGCUUCUCCCAAUGCUUAAAUGUUCCGCCACCCAUUGCUUUCAACAUGGUUUUUAACAACCUGUUGUAUCGUUCAAUUUUACCAGAAGCUGGUGCGUGAUAGGGGAUAUGAUAAAUCCACUCAAUGCCAUGAUCUUUGGCCCAAGUAUUUACAAGGGAAUUUUUGAAAUGAGUCCUAUUAUCUGAUUUGACUCUCUCUGGGGUACCAUGUCACCAGAGAACUUGUUUUUCGAGGCCUAAUAUGGUGUUUUGGGUGGUAGCAUGGGGUACUGCAUAUGUUUCAAGCUACCCAGUGGUCGCUUCCACCAUGGUAAGCACAUAACGCUUACCAUUGCGAGAUCUUGGCAAGGUGACAUAAUCAACCUGCCAUGCCUCCCCAUAUUUAUACUUUUGCCAUCGCCCUUCCUCCCAGAGAGGUUUCAUCCUCUUGGCUUGUCUAAUUAUGGCAUAUGUUUCACAGUUAUGAACAACUUGUGCAAUAGCAUCCAUAGUUAAGUCCACCCCUCGGUCUCUAGGCCAUUUAUAUGUUGCAUCUCUUCCUUGAUGACCCGAAGUUUCAUGGACCCACCAAGCUAGAAAUAAUUCACUCUUGUUCUAUCAGUCCAAGUCUAUUUGAGCCACCUCAGUUUUGGCAGCUCGAUCUACCUGAUGGUUGUUUUGUUGUUCUUCAGUAGUCCAAUUCUUGGGCACAUGACCACAUGGUGCACCUUUACAACCAUAUUCUUUAUUCGGUCAAUGUCUUUCCACAGUUCAGCAGCCCAAACAGGUUUACCCCUCCUUUGCCAGUUAUUUUGCUCCCACUGCUGUAACCACCCCCAUAAGGCAUUCGCCACCAUCCAUGAGUCAGUAUAAAGAAAAAGCACUGGCCACCUCUCCCGUUCAGCAACAUCUAAGGCCAGUUGGAUAGCCUUUACCUUUGCGAACUGACUUGAUUCUCCUUUACCUUCAGUGGCCUCUGCAACUUGUCGUGUGGGGCUCCACACAGCAGCUUUCCAUCUGCGAUGCUUCCCCACAAUACGACACGAUCCAUCUGUGAACAGGGCAUAUUUCUUUUCAUCUUCUGGUAGUUUAUUGUAUGGUGGGGCUUCUUUAGCACAUGAUACCUCCUCUCCUGGUGAUGUUCCAAACUUUUUACCUUCAGGCCAGUCCAUGACCACCUCUAAGAUUCCUGGAUGACUGAGGUUCCCCAUCCGAGCCCGUUGCAUAAUCAGUACAAUCCACUUACUCCAAGUGGCAUCAGUAGCAUGAUGGGUAGAGGGAACCUUUCCCUUGAACAUCCAGUUCAACACUGGCAAUCGAGGUGCUAGAAGGAGCUGCGUUUCAGUACCAACUACUUCAGAAGCAGCUCGAACCCCCUCAUAUGCAGCUAAGAUCUCCUUUUCGGUUGGAGUGUAGCACUCUUCAGACCCCCUGUAGGCCCAACUCCAGAAUCCCAGGGGUGGCCUCGAGUCUCUCCUGAGGCUCUUUGCCACAAACUCCAGGUGGGACCUUUCUCUCCAGCAGCAGUAUAGAGGAUGUUCUUUACAUCCUGUUCUGUCCAUACUGGCCCCAGGGCCACGGCAUGGGCUAUCUCCUGCUUAAUCUGCUCAAAAGACUGCUGCUGAUCAGGACCCCACAUGAAAUCAUUCUUCUUCUGCGUCACUUGAUAAAGGGGGCUUACAAUGAGGCUUUAGUUUGGAACAUGCAUUCUCCAAAAACCCACUAUGCCCAGAAAAGACUGUGUCUCUUUCUUAUUAGUGGGUGGAGACAUGGCAGUGAUUUUGUCCACCACAUCCGUUGGGAUGUGAUGACGUCCAUCUUGCCACUUUAUACCUAGGAACUGAAUCUCCUGGGCAGGUCCUUUCACUUUGCUUCACUUAAUAGUGAAACCAGCACAAAGAAGGAUCUGGAUUACUUGCUCUCCUUUCUCAAAAACUUCCCUUGCUGUGUUGCCCCACACAACAAUAUCGUCAAUGUACUGUAAGUUCUCAGGAGCACCUCCCUGUUCCAGUGCAGCUUGAAUCAACCCAUGGCAAAUUGUUGGGCUGUGUUUCCACCCCUGGGGCAAACGAUUCCAGGUAUACUGAAUGCCCCUCCAGGUGAAAGCAAACUGUGGCCUACAUUCCAUGGCCAAUGGAAUGGAAAAGAAAGC